GUCGAGCAGCUGCUGUCGAGCGCGCGAUAGUGUGUCUCUCCAGCUCGCGGCACGCGGUCUCUUUCCGGUCACCGGUAGCACCGGUCGUCACAUCGUCUGGUGAGCGUAGUGUUGAGAGAAGUUAACCUCUGCGUGGACACACGCUCACAAGCAUUUAUAUCAACCAUCAACACCAUGGCGUCCACAAAUACACCUCCCGAAAUUCCACCGCGAAGACACAGCUCAACCAUUUCACCAAACAAGAUUAUUAAUCAAAGUUCUGCUGCAGAGUCAAAAUCUCCUUCCUUUCUAUCACGGAGACAUUCAUCUUGUAUUGACGAUAACAUGGAUAGUGAUACCGAAACCGUAAGUAGUGUAGUUAUAAUAUUAUAAUUUAUUCCGGCUAUACAGUUUGCAAAAUAUAU